AACCUACCUUAUAGAUUGGGUAACUCCCGGGAAACCGGGGCUAAUACCGUAAUACUUUUUAACACAUGUUUUGAAGUCGAAAGACGGCAUCUCGCUGUCACUAUAAGAUGGACCCGCGGCGCAUUAGCUAGUUGGUGAGGUAACGGCUCACCAAGGCAACGAUGCGUAGCCGACCUGAGAGGGUGAUCGGCCACACUGGGACUGAGACACGGCCCAGACUCCUACGGGAGGCAGCGGUAGGGAAUCUUCCACAAUGGACGAAAGUCUGAUGGAGCAACGCCGCGUGAGUGAAGAAGGAUUUCGGUUCGUAAAACUCUGUUGCAAGGGAAGAACAAGUAGCGUAGUAACUGGCGCUACCUUGACGGUACCUUGUUAGAAAGCCACGCUAAUC
rnacentral:rRNA from 1 species